rnacentral:rRNA from 1 species
UACGUAGGGUGCAAGCGUUUAAUCGGAAUUACUGGGCGUAAAGCGUGCGCAGGCGGCUUUGCAAGACAGAUGUGAAAUCCCCGGGCUUAACCUGGGAACUGCAUUUGUGACUGCAUGGCUGGAGUGCGGCAGAGGGGGAUGGAAUUCCGCGUGUAGCAGUGAAAUGCGUAGAUAUGCGGAGGAACACCGAUGGCGAAGGCAAUCCCCUGGGCCUGCACUGACGCUCA